CCUACGGGAGGCAGCAGUGAGGAAUAUUGGUCAAUGGCCGUGAGGCUGAACCAGCCAAGUAGCGUGAAGGAUUACUGCCCUACGGGUUGUAAACCUCUUUUAUAAAGGAAUAAAGUGAGGCACGUGUGCAUUUUUGUAGGUACUUUAUGAAUAAGGAUCGGCUAAUUCCGUGCCAGCAGCCGCGGUAAUACGGAGGAUCCGGGCGUUAUCCGGAUUUAUUGGGUUUAAAGGGAGCGUAGGUGGGUUGUUAAGUGUGUCGUGAAAUUUUGCGGCUCAACCGUAAGAGUGCGAUGCGUACUGGCAGUCUUGAGUGCAGUGAAGGUAGGCGGAAUUCGUGGUGUAGCGGUGAAAUGCUUAGAUAUCACGAAGAACUCCGAUUGCGAAGGCAGCUUGCUAAACUGCCACUGACGUUGAAGCUCGAAAGUGUGGGUAUCGAACAGGAUUAGAUACCCUGGUAGUC
rnacentral:rRNA from 1 species